GAACGACUCUCGACAACGGAUAUCUCGGCUCUCGCAUCGAUGAAGAACGUAGCGAAAUGCGAUACUUAGUGUGAAUUGCAGAAUCCCGUGAACCAUCGAGUCUUUGAACGCAAGUUGCGCCCGAAGCCUUCGGGCCAAGGGCACGUCUGCCUGGGCGUCACGCA
rnacentral:rRNA from 1 species